rnacentral:rRNA from 1 species
ACCGGCGCACGGGUGAGUAACGCGUAUGUAACCUGGCUUAUACAGGGGAAUAACCCGGAGAAAUUCGGACUAAUACCCCAUAAUUAUAUUGAGAGGCAUCUUUUGGUAUUUAAAGGAGCAAUCCGGUAUAAGAUGGACAUGCGUAUCAUUAGAUAGUUGGUAAGGUAACGGCUUACCAAGUCGACGAUGAUUAGGGGUUCUGAGAGGAUAAUCCCCCACACUGGGACUGAGACACGGCCCAG